GUCGUGAGAUGUUGGGUUAAGUCCCGCAACGAGCGCAACCCUUGUCGUUAGUUGCUAACAGUUCGGCUGAGCCCUCUAACGAGACUGCCGGUGUUAAACCGGAGGAAGGUGGGGAUGACGUCAAGUCCUCAUGGCCCUUAUGCCCAGGGCUACACACGUGCUACAAUGGGCGGUACAAACUGUUGCGAACCCGCGAGGGGGAGCCAAUCGGAAAAAACCGUCCUCAGUUCAGAUUGCAGUCUGCAACUCGACUGCAUGAAGUUGGAAUCGCUAGUAAUCCCUAAUCAGCAGGUAGGGGUGAAUACGUUCCCGGGCCUUGUACACACCGCCCGUCACACCAUGGGAGUCAGUUGCUCCAGAAACGGCUGCGCUAACCCGCAAGGGAGGCAAGUCUUUAAGGAGUGACUGGUAACUGGGGUGAAGUCGUAACAAGGUAGCCGUAGGGGAACCUGCGGCUGGAUCACCUCCUUUCGGAGAAACAACGAGGCCUUCGGGUUUUCGUUUAACUCAAGAUCAAAACCAUUCUUACGGAUGAAACGGUGGCCGCUCGGCGCCGUUAGUGAACUCUAUUGCUGUUCGGUUUUCGGAGACCGAAAGUCUUCGGAACUUUGACAAUCAAAUAGAAAUCGGUGACGCGAAUAGCGUGUCUCGAAAUGUAGCAUCAAGCGUCUUGCGAAUUGAUGCGUGUUUUCCAUUGGGGCGACCCGAUGGCACGCAAUCGACUCAGUAAACGGCGUUUCGCGCCAAGAAAUAAGUAGCUGAUUCGUAAAAAAGAUUUUGCGAUCAAGCUAAUACGGGCGCGCGGUGAAUGCCUUGGCGUCAGGAGGCGAAGAGGGACGUGGUUAGCUGCGAAAAGCUCCGGGAAGUCGCAAGCAGGCGUUGAUCCGGAGAUGU
rnacentral:sRNA from 1 species